rnacentral:rRNA from 1 species
UGGGGAAUUUUGGACAAUGGGGGAAACCCUGAUCCAGCCAUCCCGCGUGUGCGAUGAAGGCCUUCGGGUUGUAAAGCACUUUUGGCAGGAAAGAAACGUCGCGGGUUAAUACCCCGCGGAACUGACGGUACCUGCAGAAUAAGCACCGGCUAACUACGUGCCAGCAGCCGCGGUAAUACGUAGGGUGCAAGCGUUAAUCGGAAUUACUGGGCGUAAAGCGUGCGCAGGCGGUUCGGAAAGAAAGAUGUGAAAUCCCAGAGCUUAACUUUGGAACUGCAUUUUUAACUACCGGGCUAGAGUGUGUCAGAGGGAGGUGGAAUUCCGCGUGUAGCAGUGAAAUGCGUAGAUAUGCGGAGGAACACCGAUGGCGAAGGCAGCCUCCUGGGAUAACACUGACGCCUCAUGCACAGAAGCGUGGGGAGCAAACAGGAUUAGAUACCCUGGGUAGUCCACGCCCUAAACGAUGUCAACUAGCUGUUGGGGUCUUCGGACCUUGGUAGCGCAGCUAACGCGUGAAGUUGACCGCCUGGGGAGUACGGUCGCAAGAUUAAAACUUAAAUGAAUUGACGGGGGU